rnacentral:rRNA from 1 species
AUUGAACGCUGGCGGCAGGCUUAACACAUGCAAGUCGAGCGGGGGAAGGUAGCUUGCUACCGGACCUAGCGGCGGACGGGUGAGUAAUGCUUAGGAAUCUGCCUAUUAGUGGGGGACAACAUCUCGAAAGGGAUGCUAAUACCGCAUACGUCCUACGGGAGAAAGCAGGGGAUCUUCGGACCUUGCGCUAAUAGAUGAGCCUAAGUCGGCUUAGCUAGUUGGUGGGGUAAAGGCCUACCAAGGCGACGAUCUGUAGCGGGUCUGAGAGGAUGAUCCGCCACACUGGGACUGAGACACGGCCCAGACUCCUACGGGAGGCAGCAGUGGGGAAUAUUGGACAAUGGGGGGAACCCUGAUCCAGCCAUGCCGCGUGUGUGAAGAAGGCCUUAUGGUUGUAAAGCACUUUAAGCGAGGAGGAGGCUACUUUAGUUAAUACCUGGAGAUAGCGGACGUUACUCGCAGAAUAAGCACCGGCUAACUCUGUGCCAGCCGCCGCGGUAA